rnacentral:SRP_RNA from 1 species
CCGCGCUAGGCGGGGAGCUAGCGGUGCCCUGUACCCGCAAUCCGCUACAGCGGGGCUGAAUCCCCGCCCGAGGGGCCGUCCCGCGAGGCUGUCAGCAGCCGGCGGCGUCGAGGGUCGGGUCCUGCGCAAUGGAACCCUGCGAACCCCGUCAGGUCCGGAAGGAAGCAGCGGUAAGCAGGCCCUUCCAUGUGCCGCAGGGGCGCCUGACCGGAGCUUGCCGGCGGCGAGGACGCUCGGAGGGCGCGUCUCGACGGCGGGUGCGCGG